rnacentral:rRNA from 1 species
CCUACGGGAGGCAGCAGUGGGGAAUUUUCCGCAAUGGGCGAAAGCCUGACGGAGCAAUACCGCGUGAGGGAUGACGGCCUAUGGGUUGUAAACCUCUUUUCUCAGGGAGGAAAUCAAUGACGUUACCUGAGGAAUAAGCAUCGGCUAACUCCGUGCCAGCAGCCGCGGUAAGACGGAGGAUGCAAGUGUUAUCCGGAAUCACUGGGCGUAAAGCGUCUGUAGGUGGCUUAACAAGUCAACUGUUAAAUCUUGAAGCUCAACUUCGAAAUCGCAGUCGAAACUGUUAGGCUAGAGUAUAGUAGGGGUAAAGGGAAUUUCCAGUGGAGCGGUGAAAUGCGUAGAGAUUGGAAAGAACACCGAUGGCGAAGGCACUUUACUGGGCUAUUACUGACACUCAGAGACGAAAGCUAGGGUAGCAAAUGGGAUUAGAUACCCCAGUAGUCCUAGCCGUAAACAAUGGAUACUAGAUGUUGGGCAGAUCGACCUGUUCAGUAUUAAAGCUAACGCGUUAAGAAUCCCGCCUGGGAAGUAUGCGCGCAAGCGUGAAACUCAAAUGAAUUGACGG